GGUGUGUGCACAGAGAAGACACCAAGUGAGGAUACAGGAAGAAGGUAGCCUCCUACAAGCCAGGAAGAGAGGGUUCACCAAAGACCAGCCCUGACUGAUAUAUAUUGAUUAUUGUUAUACCAGGUUUUCUCCAUUAAAGUCAAUUCGGGUCCAUCCAUAAUGUCAGAAGCAUGUUCUAGAGUUAACUGAGGUGACCCCUGAAUGAGGAGCUCAGUCAGAUAGGAAGCCAUUGGAAGGUAAAUCAGGUUGCUAAAUCACUCACAGUUCUUUCACUGCCAGACCAACUCAGCACAAAAAGUAGAAUUUGUGGCAGAGACAUCUUUUUGUUGAAUCCAAAUUAAAGGAAAAUGCCACAAAGGGUAAGUGGACAGAAAUUUUCAAGAAAGAGUCAUUCUUUGGAAAAGUGAAAAAGUAUCACCAAUCAGGAAUACCAUUCUUACUACUGUCAGAUGUAAUUUGAGCUAACCACCAUUUAAUGUGGGUCCAAUUAUUAUUAGUAACCAAUAGUAUGAAAAUGAAUUAGAAUUCUGUGUCAGAAAUAUCCAUACUUAACCCAAGAGGGAAAUAAAAUUAUAACAAAUAAAAUAAAAUAAUACAUUGCCUAAUUGGAAAGACAUGGUGGAAACAUAUAAAAUUUUGCA
rnacentral:lncRNA from 1 species